CCUACGGGCGGCAGCAGUGGGGAAUAUUGCACAAUGGGGGAAACCCUGAUGCAGCAACGCCGCGUGAGUGAGGAAGUAUUUCGGUAUUUAAAGCUCUAUUAGCAGGGAAUAGAAAAGAAGGUACCUGAAAAAGACGCCCCUGCUAACUACGUGCCAGGAGCCUCGGUAAUACGCAGGGGGCAAGCGUUCACCGGGUUUGCUGGGUGUAAACGGAUCGUAGACGGAAAGGCAAGGCAGAAGUGAAAGCACAAGGCUCAACCACGGGACCGCUGUUGAAACUGGCAGACUAGAGGACGGGAGAGGUAAGAGGAAGGCCUAGUGUAGCGGUGAAAUGCGUAGAUAUUAGGAGGAACACCAGUGGCGAAGGCGUCUUACUGGAGGGGAACUGACGUUGAGGCUCGAAAGCGUGGGGAGCAAACAGGAUUAGAUACCCCGGUAGUC
rnacentral:rRNA from 1 species